UUCUCCCCACUCCCCUCCAUUUCUUGGAGUAUUCCCUAUUUGGCCUCUUGAUGAAGUGGGAGAGGUUCCUGUGGACCUGUGCUCUGGUCAGUUUCAGACCUUUCCUUCCUUUUCUUGCCCAAGGACACUGUUUGCUAGUAACUGCGUUCUAACCAGAAUUUGGAAUGUUAAUAACACUGUUUGCUGCUAAUGAUUGAAAUCGGAGAGUUUGGGUCUACAUUUGGACUUAAUUACAAGCCUUAUAGUUACCUUUGAAAUUUUAAGGUGGUGUUGCUGGCUCUGUUGAAGAUCUUGGUUAGAUUGCCUUCUUAACGAGGAAAAAAGAUACAAUUUAUACAGAUCACAUUUAGAGUUAAUGGGAAUGUAUCAAUAUAGAGAAUUUGUUCUGAAGAGAUGUUGACCUUAAGGUUGAACAAUGGUUGGACCAUGUUAGCAUUUCAGAGUAGAUUACAUUUUCACUUCCUUUUUAAGCUUCCUAAUUCUGAAGUCUUUCCUUUGUAAUAUCAGGGAUACUUGAUCACGUACAAAAGAGUCUCCAUUGCUUUAUACACUUUAUUUUCACAAAUUUUUUGAUGGCUGUUCAUUAUCUUAAAAACAAAGACUGAGAUCAAGUGGUGACUUGUCUAGGAGAAUAUGCAAUGUGAAAACUCCCCACUUAAAGAUUUUGGGAUCCUUCAUUGCACAUAUAAUGGUUUGACUGUAGUAAGUUCUCAGCUGGUAUUACGGUUCUUUGACAAGAAGACCACAGAGGUAAAGUACCAUUGUCAAUGACAUCAUCAAAGGUAUAUAUUGUCAACAUGACUUACACUAUUGAUAUUUACCUUAGUCAUCUGGUUUAUUAGUGAUUGUCAGGUUUCUCCACUUGUAAAGUUAUUCUUUAAUCCCAUCCCCCUUUCCAUACUGUACUUUUUGGAAGGAAACACUAUGUGCACCCCACACUUAAGGAGUGGAUGUUAUGCUCUACCUCCCUGAGGGCAGCAUCUAGAUAAACUAUUUAGAAUUCUUCUACGUGGGAGAUUUUUCUCUUCUCCCCCAUUUAUUUAUUCAGUCAUUUAUUUUACAUCAUUGAUGUUUAUUUUAUAUUUCACAUUACAAGCAGGUACUACUUUACUUUGUUGCUCAGAUUGUUCCACCUUUGGCCAUUAGGAGCUCUUUCAGUUGGCUCAUACUCCCUGUGUAUGUGUGUGUAUGUGUGUGUGUAUAUAUGUGUUAGAGGAACAUUCUAAGUCUUUUGAUUGUGAAAAAAAUUGUAAAAUAGAGGUUAUAUUUCAUAUACAGUCCUUCCAUUUUUACAUCUGUGCUCAUCAUAAUACCCUAUAAUAACUAACAAAAUUCAUUUAUUGUGUUUAUGCUCUACUCUCAGCUUUCUUCAUUCAUGUAC